GCCCCGGGCAGGCAGAAAUCAACCCUGAACCUAUGGCGCCAGGUGGGAAGUCGGAGAUUGAGGCAGAACGGUUUAUGUGCUGGGGAGAGACGUGGAUCCGAAGAGAAUUGGACUGACACAUUCUUAAGACACCCUUUUAUUGCUUCAGAAAUAGAAGAGGAGCAGUGCAGGCUGGUUGGGAACCACUUGGAUGAAGUGGUGAGCUCAGGUUACUUAUCCUCUAGGACUGACUGGCACUGACUUUGAUUUUCAUCACCUACUCGGGCCAGCUCACAGUUCCCUGGAACUCCAGCCCCAUGGAGAUGCUCUGCCUCCACAGGGACCUGCGGUCAUGAGCACGUGCCCCUCCUACAUGCUCAUGAUUAAAAAUAAAAAUAACUACGUUAAAAAAAACCCUACUGCUUCUGAACUCGGGGCUCUCGUGGAAGACUUUGGAUACAGCAAGGCUGACUUUGCUUCCAACUCCUUCUUUGUUCCUGUUACAGGUAGAAGAAGUAAUAAUCUAGUUGUGAGCUUGGGAGAGGGUGUCAAGUUGAUUCAGCCACCAUAACCUUGUCUCCAUAGUUCCACAUCUAAAGCUUUCUUUAGGGAGCUAUACUGAUGAGCAGACACAUGCUAACCUUAUUCUAGCUGUAAGAUCAG